rnacentral:rRNA from 1 species
UACGUAGGGUCCGAGCGUUGUCCGGAAUUACUGGGCGUAAAGCGCGCGUAGGCGGCUUUGUAAGUUAGAGGUGAAAGCCCGAAGCUCAACUUCGGAAUUGCCUUUAAGACUGCAUCGCUAGAAUCAUGGAGAGGUUAGUGGAAUUCCGAGUGUAGAGGUGAAAUUCGUAGAUAUUCGGAAGAACACCAGUGGCGAAGGCGACUAACUGGACAUGUAUUGACGCUGAGGUGCGAAAGCGUGGGGAGCAAACAGG